AGUGGCCAUCCUCCGAGCCAUGCCUCUGUCUUCAGGCACCUGCACCCCAGAAGGUGCCUGGGUGGGCUAUGGAGAAGGGCAGAGUGGGAGACAAACGGGCAGACACCAGAAGAGGUGCAGAUGGGCAGAUUGUAUUUAUUCAUGAAAGACACAGAGAGAGAGGCAGAGACAUGGGCAGAGAGAGAAGCAGGCUCGCCGUGAGGAACCCGAUGCAGGAUUUGAUCCCAGGACCCAGGGACCACGACCUGAGCUAAAGGCAGACACUCAACCACUGAGCUACCCAGGGUACACACCGUCAGAGUUCAAUGCCAUUGAGUAACGUGGCUACAGAACACUCUUCUCUUCACAAAGGAUCCCCCCUUCCUGAUGUUUCUGCUUCAAACUUGCUGCUGAGGUUUAAUGAACUAUCUCAAUGGUUGAUAAGGAAUCUUCAUCCCACGCUGGGUUACCACUCACAUAAAUGAAAGCACCAAGAUGAAAAAGUUCCUGCCCUCCAACAUCUAAGGCAAGUCUAAGAAGGCCAACGGGCUCACACAUUAAAAUAUGACAAAUGCAUCAUGUCGCUUCCCCAUCUGAGUACAGAUUAUUACUUUUAGGUGACAUAUGUGUAAAUUAACCUGAAGCAAUGCUGCAGGUGUGAUGUCCAUUAAAAUAUCCCAAGAAAUCACUAGCUAUCACUUUUGUGUGACAGAUCUAUUAGGUGUCAUUAAAUACACAAAUAACACAUAGCAAAAUCUGGGCUUUUAAGUAUUUAACUUUUCAAAAAAAAAGUAUUUUAACUUUUCAUUUUUAAAUUUCAGAUUGACAAAAACAUUGCAAAAAAGGCAAAUAUUCCGAAUACCCUUCACUCAUAUUCCUAAAAUAUUAACAUCUUUGGGUAAUCAGGUUUCCAGAUAAAGAUCAGGAAAUUCGAUAAUAUGUUGUCAGUAAUUAUGAAAUUUAAAAUAUCACCAUUGUCUCAGUGUCCCAUCUGAGAUCCAAGGGACCAGCCGUAAUUCGUGUACACAUCUCCUUGGUCUCCUGUAACCUGGAACAGCUCUUCGAUCACCUCGCCUUUCAUGACCUUGACAUUCUUGGAGCAUGCUGGCCAGAGAAUAUCUCUGUUUGGGCUUGUUUCUGUAUCAUUAAACUCAAGUUAUGCAUUUUUGGCAGGAAUAAGCGAUAUGUCCCUCUCAGUGUACAAGAGGGACAUUUGCUUAAAGUCAUGUCUGCCAGCCAUGGAAUAGCUAUUUUUUCCUUUGUACUCAGUAAGCUCAAAAGUGUAAAUAUCCUAUUUUUUCAUCAUAGUUUUCCCAUCAACUUUAACAUUAAUUCAUUCUUCCCUAAAACAGCUAUUAUUACAUGGUGAUUGUUCCUUUCCAUCAUUCCUUCUACAUCUAUUAGUUGAAAUUCUACCAUUAGGAAGAGUUUUCUCUUCUCCUCUACUUGUUUCAUUGGUUUAUUCAUAUCAGAGAUUAUUAUUUUAUUCUAUGGAUUAGAUCUCUUACAAUAGUUAUUUACUUUGCUGCUCAAAUUGUUGAUUUUUUUUUUUUGGAGAUCCUGUAAGUGAGGUUCUGUUUCUUUUUGACAGAUCUCCAUUUUGUGUUUCCUUAGUUUCUGGUGCCACAAAAUAUCUCUGUUGCAUCUUUACUUUCCUUGUCCCACCAAACCCCCUUGUCCACAAAACCCCUGUUCUUUUUAUAGAAGAAUAGUAUUUAUAAACCAAAUUCUGAGUCUGGGAGGCUCAGUCAGUUAAGCAUCCACUCUUGAUUUCGGCUCAAGGUCAUGAUUGCAGAGUGGUGAGAUCAAGUCUGGUGUUAGGUUCUGCACUAGAAGGGAGUCUGCUUGAGAUUUUCUCUCUCCUUCUCCCUCUGCCACUUCCCCAACUAUACUAUAUCUAAAAUAAAUAAAUAAAAUCCCUUAAAAAUAAAAAAUAAAAACCAAAUUCUGGAGACUAAGAAGCUCAUUGGAUCUGUGGUGUCAUUGCUCCUAAGCCCUUGGAGCAAGCAGAGCUAUUAACACACAUAUGCAGCCACAGACACAUAGACAUCAAUUUCUACGUUUAUCUGUUUAUACAUAUAUGUGUAUAUAAGACACACACAUAAACCCAGAAACAUAUAUAUUUAUACAUGCAUAAAAAACAUUAAGGUCAUAGCGAUCACUCCAAUUUCAAUCUAACAACAUGAGGCUCAUCCUGUCUCCCUUAUCUGCUAUACUUUCUCAGACAGUGAGAAAUCUGCAAGACCUGGGCUAUUCAUUCAGGUACCUUUUCCAGAAUCAACACAAGCUUUUCCUUCUUCUUCUUUUUUUUUAACCUCCACUCCUAAAAUAAGUAUUAACUUAAAUUAUUGAUCCUUGAAUGUUCAAAUUUCAUUCAACCCCCACCAGUCCCAUUAUCUCCAAGAAUUAUAAUGCUCUCUAACCACAUUAAGGUUAGAGAUUAGAAAUGGAAAAUUCCCAUAUUGUAAUUAGUCACACAUUUUCAUACUGGAAAUUCCAUUAUUUGCAAAAAAGGUGAAAAGAUGAAGUUCAUGAAUUCAAAACUGUCUUUUGGCUGUGUGCCCAUUAUAAUUCAGAUCACUGGAAUUCCGGUAGAAAUCAGCUGGGGAGUCAGCUGCUGGCCAGCUCAGAAAUACAGUCAUUUAUGAAACUUAGGCAGUACUUUAAGCCUCAACUAAAAUUUUAACCUAAAUUUCAUAUUACUGUUAUUCUCUUGGAACAUUCCUGGUUUACUAUUAAGGAAAUUCUGCAGAUGGUGUUGCUAUUAUAUUUGGAGGAAAGCACAAAACAGUCCUGAAACUUCUACUAUUAGCCAGUGUUCUCCUUCUCCACUCCACAUGUAACCCUGUCUAUAAACGUAACAAAGCUGAUGACUUACACAGGCUCAAGCUAUCCCACCACAUGACACUAUCAUUGUUGAAUCUUCCAUCUAGAUUCUGGGCAGAAAUUUGGAUUUAUUACCUGAAUGAUUAAUUCAAAUAAAACUUAGAAAUUUUACCUGUAAUACAUGCAUUUCUUCCAGCAAAUCUCAUGCUCUAAUACACAUUACACAUAUCACUAAUUAUUUCCCAACAAAGCUGAGAAGUAAAGCAAAUCAUCUCACAGACCCACUGCAGACAGAGGGCAUGGCUUCCAGGACAAGUGCCUCCAUGACAAGUCUCCAACUACUGCCAUUUCCUUCUUCCUGCCCAGCUAGGUGCUCGUGUGGCAUGCAACCCUGCACUGCAAUUUUUUUCUGCCAUCACAUUUUAUUCAUUAAACUAAAUUUUAAGAUUCUAAAAUAUAUUUAAAAAAUAAGCCUUAAGCUUAGGAGUAAAAACUUCUGCCUCCAGCAGACACUAGUUUUUCCAAUGACUCCAACAUCACUCAGUUAUUUCCAGAGCAGCUUUUCUGUGCAAUCUCUUACAGCUUUGCUUUCAUUAUUCUGAUCACCAGUGGCACCAAAUGAUCUUCUACUUUUUGGGUGGGUUCCUGGUAAAGCUAAAAGUAACCUAGUAGUA